AUUGAACGCUGGCGGCAGGCCUAACACAUGCAAGUCGGGCGAGCGGCGGACGGGUGAGUAAUGUAUGGGGAUCUGCCCGAUGGAGGGGGAUAACUACUGGAAACGGUGGCUAAUACCGCAUACUAUCAGAUGAACCCAUAGGGGAUUAGGUAGUAGGUGGGGUAACGGCUCACCUAGGCGACGAUCCCUAGCUGGUCUGAGAGGAGGAUCAGCCACACUGGGACUGAGACACGGCCCAGACUCCUACGGGAGGCAGCAGUGGGGAAUAUUCGGCAAUGGACGAAAGCCUGAUGCAGCAACGCCGCGUGUAUGAAGAAGGCCUUAGGAUUGUAAAACACUUUGGGCGGAGAAGCGUUACCCAACCAGAAAGCACCGGCUAACUCCGUGCCAGCAGCCGCGGUAAUUC
rnacentral:rRNA from 1 species